rnacentral:rRNA from 1 species
UACAGAGGUGGCAAGCGUUGUUCGGAAUUACUGGGCGUAAAGAGCUCGUAGGCGGUUCGAUAAGUCGGACGUGAAAUCUCCACGCUCAACGUGGAGGGGCCGUUCGAUACUGUCGUGACUCGAGUCCGGUAGGGGAGUGUGGAAUUCCCGGUGUAGCGGUGAAAUGCGCAGAGAUCGGGAGGAACACCCGUAGCGAAGGCGGCACUCUGGGCCGGUACUGACGCUGAGGAGCGAAAGCGUGGGGAGCAAACAGG